CCCGGGGGCCCGCCCACGCCCACCCCGCCGCUCGACUUCCCGUAUAUCUGUAACAUGACUGUGAAGACGGCAUUGAGGAGGAGAGGAAUCGGAAAACAACUUCUUAAGGCAUGUGAGGAUUUGGUCAUCAAAAUGGAUGCAAAAAAGACGUGUAUAUCUUCAUUGUCGAAUUAUCGAUCAAGUGCCAUUCAACAUGUGCAGGAAAGCUGGAUAUAACAUUGUCGAGACUGACAAUAUUUUGGUUUGGCUGAGCCUUCAAAAGCGGAAGUAUUUGAUGAGCAAGGAAUUACCCCAAGCUUCUGUUGUUGAGUCUUCAACCAAAGACUUCGAUGAUAAUAUUUUGACACGCUAAACGUUCAACAGGAUCAACAGGUACACAUGAGGUUGAAUUUUGUGUAUAAAUGUAUGGUUCUGUUCGUCACAUAUUUUCACAACUGCCGUUCAUUAAUUGGCUAUCACAAAAUUAUUUAGUUAAAAAUGAGUUGACAAUGCUUGUAACAAUGUUGAUUCAAUAAUAUGGCACUUACGCUCACUAA